GAUACCAACAAGUUUCCAGUAUCAGCAAAGUUGUGAACAUGAUGAUGGAAAUCAUCCCCGCUCAUCAGACAUUCAACUUUCCAUGGCAGAAGAUAGUCGUGAGACAUUUAAUGCUGUUAGGUUUCAUGACAUUUCCUUGAAUGCCCAAACAAGUCACAGAGAAACAAGUGAAAUUAAGUCAACUGUUAACCCAUUUGAGCCAUUAGCUGGUACCGACUCUGAGCCAUCUUCAAGUUAUUGUCUGGUUUUAGGGCAUAACUCUACAGGGACCCUGCUGGAAGAAUCAUCCUUUCCCC
rnacentral:misc_RNA from 1 species